GAUGAACGCUGGCGGCGUGCUUAACACAUGCAAGUCGAACGAAGCUGUUGUUUGGAGACCUUCGGGUGGAAGAAUAACAGACUGAGUGGCGGACGGGUGAGUAACGCGUGGGUAACCUACCUUGCACAGGGGGACAACAGUUGGAAACGACUGCUAAUACCGCAUAAGACCACAGUACCGCAUGGUACAGGGGUAAAAACUGAGGUGGUGCAAGAUGGACCCGCGUCUGAUUAGCUAGUUGGUGGGGUAAAGGCCUACCAAGGCGACGAUCAGUAGCCGACCUGAGAGGGUGAUCGGCCACAUUGGGACUGAGACACGGCCCAAACUCCUACGGGAGGCAGCAGUGGGGAAUAUUGGACAAUGGGGGGAACCCUGAUCCAGCGACGCCGCGUGAGUGAAGAAGUAUUUCGGUAUGUAAAGCUCUAUCAGCAGGGAAGAAAAUGACGGUACCUGACUAAGAAGCCCCGGCUAACUACGUGCCAGCAGCCGCGGUAAUACGUAGGGGGCAAGCGUUAUCCGGAUUUAAUGGGUGUAAAGGGAGCGCAGACGGCUCGGCAAGUCUGAAGUGAAAGCCCGGGGCUUAACCCCGGGACUGCUUUGGAAACUGUGAAGCUAGAGUGUCGGAGAGGUAAGUGGAAUUCCCAGUGUAGCGGUGAAAUGCGUAGAUAUUGGGAGGAACACCGGUGGCGAAGGCGGCUUACUGGACGAUAACUGACGUUGAGGCUCGAAGGCGUGGGGAGCAAACAGG
rnacentral:rRNA from 1 species